rnacentral:rRNA from 1 species
GUGCCAGCAGCCGCGGUAAUACGUAGGGUGCAAGCGUUAAUCGGAAUUACUGGGCGUAAAGCGUGCGCAGGCGGCUUUGCAAGACAGAUGUGAAAUCCCCGGGCUCAACCUGGGAACUGCAUUUGUGACUGCAAGGCUAGAGUGCGGCAGAGGGGGAUGGAAUUCCGCGUGUAGCAGUGAAAUGCGUAGAUAUGCGGAGGAACACCGAUGGCGAAGGCAAUCCCCUGGGCCUGCACUGACGCUCAUGCACGAAAGCGUGGGGAGCAAACAGGAUUAGAUACCCUGGUAGUCC